UGCCAGCAUCCGCGGUACUACUGAUUGUGCAAUCGUUGUUCGGAAUCACUGGGCGUAAAGAGUGCGCAGGCGGUCUUGUCCGUCAGGUGUGAAAGCUCGGGGCUCAACCCCGGAAGUGCACUUGAAACAGCAAGACUUGAAUACGGUAGAGGAGAGAGGAAUUCCUGGUGUAGAGGUGAAAUUCGUAGAUAUCAGGAGGAACACCGACGGCGAAGGCAUCUCUCUGGGCCGAUAUUGACGCUGAGGCGCGAAGGCGUGGGUAGCGAACGGGAUUAGAUA
rnacentral:rRNA from 1 species